AAUAUUUAUAGGUACAUUCUAUAAUAUCUCUCAAUUAUCAAUAAAAACAUAUAUAAUUUUUUAUUUCUCUUAAAAAAAACCAAUUAUUUAAAUAAAACCUCCAAAAAAUCUCAUUCUCUAUUUUUCCCAUCCCCCCCCUCUCUCUCACCAAACCUAGUCGCAGAUCCACCACCAUCAAGAAGCCCACACAACUUAUUCAGUCAUCCUCACAAACGCUGAAUAUCAUCACAUCAACGCAUGGACUCUUAAUAUUUUCAUUAGGACGUUUUGAUAUAUACCUGUCGACCCUCUUACACGAAUCUCAACAGGCUUGUGUCUCAGGUUAUCUCCUCGUUGAGAUCAUCGCUUCGGUUUGAUGGAGCACUGGAUGUGGAUGUGACUGUGACUGAAUUCCAAACCAAUUGUAGAAUAGGGUUCUAAGGACGCUGAAGCUCUGGUGCAAAUAUUCUUCAAAAAUAAUAGUCAAAAGCAAACUGCUCAGAGCUAUAGCGCUAAAGAUAAGGUACAAGAAUCAACUUUCAACAAGAAUCCGGAACUUUACCCGCCUGUUAAUGCUAUCCAUUCUCUCAUACCCAAUCCCAAUCUUACUUUAAAACCAAAUCUAUAUUGCUUGCUUUCAUCAAAGCAUUUGUUAGAACAGUGGAUUCUCCCUAGAAUUUACAAGGUUUAAAUGAGGGAUUAAACUACCAGCCUCCUACUACUGUUCCUGGUGGUGACUUGGCUAAGUUUCAGAGGAUAGUUUGCAUGAUUGCAAACUCGACCAGCGUUGCUGAGGUGUUCUUUAGGAUUGAUCACAAGUUUAAUCUUCUGUGUGCGAAGCGUGCUUGGAGAACUGGUUUUUUUUGUGGGUAUACGAAUAUUCUUCAAUUCUACAGCAUGUGGUAAUAAAAAUUAUGAAAUUGGGAUUGAUUUUGUAUUGCAGACAAAAGGUUUGAUGAAAUAUUAAGUUUUAGUUUUUUUUUAUAUAUAUAAAGUUGUGAUAUUAAAUAAUUAUUUUUUUUAGAAAUGAUAUUCAUGUUAGCGUGUGUAUAAUGUUUAGAAUGUAAAUAAUAAUUUUUCAAAUUGUAGAGAGUAAUUGCAAUAUAAACCAAAUAAGAUAUUGUGUUU